UAAGCUUGAUAUUGUAAUCAUUAUCAUAAAAUAACCCCCUUCAGGGUGAUCCAAGACCCUUGUCUGGGUUUAUUUUAUGAUGAUUACUGUAUGUUAUCUCCUGCUGUACUGCAUUUUUCCUGUUCAAACUGUACUCUUUCUGUAUACCAGAUCUUAAAAACACCAUCCAUUUUGUCUACUGUACAUUUAUGAUAUGUCAGUGCACAGCAACUGAUAAAGUGGUAAUUUUCAGUGUCUCUUUCUCACUCUGUGUAGAGGUGCAGUGUGAUGUACGUUGGAUGUCCCUGUCCAGCGGCAGCUCUCUGGUCUGUCUGUGGCUGAGUGGGAGUCAUCUCCUGCUCCACCACCAGGAGGCGCCACCGAGCACAGUGUCUCCCACAGUGAGGACAGGAGCCCCAGGACAGGAAGCCUUUGCCUCCAGUCUCGCUGAGGCAGUUCGUUCAGAUGCCUUGCGCUCCUCUGUGCACUUGGAGCAGUCUGGGGCAUGUGAGGGUUACUUUGCAGAAGACUAUCGUCCGCUGUGCUCUAUUGGAAAGGGAGCCUUCGGCUUUGUCUGGCUCGCUGCAAGAAGGAAAGAUGAACAGGAAGUGGUUGUGAAGUUUAUUAGGAAAAGUGCAGUGGUGAGUGAAGCGUGGUGGAUGAUCCUGAUCUGGGCCGGGUCAGUCAAGAAGUGGCUAUACUGGUUCGCCUGCAACAUCCCAAUAUUGUGAAGGUACGUUGAGAGAACCGUUUGAGUUCAUAUUAAAUAAUGCAACAUAGCCUCUUUAAAAAAAAGAGUCGAAUGUUGUUGUCGAAUGUCAAUUUUAAUCUGUUCACAUGCUUAAAAACCUUGUACCUCAUUUUAAAUGACAGUUUUACUGUACUAUUUAUCUUGUUCAAAAAUGCACAACAAUGCAAAUGUUACUAGUCGGUAAGAAUCUAUUUAAACUUUACAUUUUAAUUUAAUUUCAGCAAGGAUGCAUCAAAUUUGAGACAAUGCGAUUUGUAAUGUUACUAUUUAUUUUUCAAAAUAAAUAAAUCCUGGAAAAUCUGUUUUAUUAAAGUGCCACUAUUAUGGAUUUUUGACAAGGG
rnacentral:lncRNA from 1 species